AGAGUUUGAUCAUGGCUCAGAGCGAACGUUUGCGGCGGGCCUAACACAUGCAAGUCGAACGCACUAGCAAUAGUGAGUGGCGCACGGGUGCGUAACACGUGGGUAAUCAACCCUUCAGCUUGGGAUAACGACUUGAAAGGGUCGCUAAUACCGGAUACGGCGCGGGAGGCUUCGGCUUCUCACGAGAAAGCCUCGCAAGGGGCACUGAAGGACGAGCCUGCGGCCCAUCAGCUAGUUGGUGAGGUAAGAGCUCACCAAGGCGAAGACGGGUAGCGGGUCUGAGAGGAUGAUCCGCCACACUGGGACUGAGACACGGCCCAGACUCCUACGGGAGGCAGCAGUGGGGAAUUUUGGACAAUGGGCGCAAGCCUGAUCCAGCCAUGCCGCGUGAGUGAAGAAGGCCUUCGGGUUGUAAAGCUCUUUCGGUGGGAAGAAAUUGCUUCGGUUAAUACCUGGAGUAGAUGACGGUACCCGCAUAAGAAGCACCGGCUAACUACGUG
rnacentral:rRNA from 1 species